rnacentral:rRNA from 1 species
UACGUAGGCAGCAAGCGUUGUUCGGAUUUACUGGGCGUAAAGGGCGCGUAGGCGGCCACCGCAAGUCGACUGUGAAAUCUCCGGGCUUAACCCGGAAAGGUCAGCCGAUACUGCGGGGCUAGAGUGCAGAAGGGGCAACUGGAAUUCUCGGUGUAGCGGUGAAAUGCGUAGAUAUCGAGAGGAACACCUGCGGCGAAGGCGGGUUGCUGGGCUGACACUGACGCUGAUGCGCGAAAGCUAGGGGAGCGAACGGG